GAUGAACGCUAGCGGCAGGCCUAACACACGCAAGUCGAGGGGUAGAGGAAGCUUGCUUCCUUGAGACCAGCGCACGGGUGCGUAACGCGUAUGCAAUCUACCUUUUACAGAGGGAUAGCCCAGAGAAAUUUGGAUUAAUACCUCAUAGUAUUUUCGAAUGGCAUCAUUUGAUUAUUAAAGUUCCAACGGUAAAAGAUGAGCAUGCGUCCUAUUAGCUAGAUGGUAAGGUAACGGCUUACCAUGGCAACGAUAGGUAGGGGUCCUGAGAGGGAGAUCCCCCACACUGGUACUGAGACACGGACCAGACUCCUACGGGAGGCAGCAGUGAGGAAUAUUGGACAAUGGGCGCAAGCCUGAUCCAGCCAUGCCGCGUGCAGGAAGACGCAUCUAUGGUGUGUAAACUGCUUUUGUACGGGAAGAAACACUCCCUCGUGAGGGAGCUUGACGGUACCGUAAGAAUAGGGAUCGGCUAACUCCGUGCCAGCCGCCGCUGUAAGAC
rnacentral:rRNA from 1 species